UCAGACGAUGCGUCAUGCAUAUCAAUAAGCGGAGGAAAAGAAACUAACAAGGAUUCCCCUAGUAACGGCGAGUGAAGCGGGAAGAGCUCAAAUUUGAAAUCUUAAAGGGUUUCCCUUUACGAAUUGUAGUUUAAAGAAGUGUUUUCUGUUGAGGUUUUGGUAAAAGUUCUUUGGAAUAGGACAUCAUAGAGGGUGAGAAUCCCGUAUUUGACCUUUACUUUCAACUUUGUGAUACACUUUCAAAGAGUCGGAUUGUUUGGGAAUGCAGUCCAAAAUGGGUGGUAAAUUUCAUCUAAAGCUAAAUAUUGGCGAGAGACCGAUAGCGAACAAGUACCGUGAGGGAAAGAUGAAAAGAACUUUGAAAAGAGAGUUAAACAGUACGUGAAAUUGUCAAAAGGGAAGCGUUUGACACCAGUGUUGUUUUUCUGAAAAUCAAUUAAAGAACUGUUUAUGCUAAGCUGUUUAGACUUUAUCAGCUAUCUGUUUAGUUUUGAGCUUUUCUUUAAUGCACUUUUCAGUUAACAAGUCAACAUCAAGUUCUUUUGCUGUAAAAAAGCUUGAGGAAGGUGGCUUGAGAUUCGUCUUAAGUGUUUAUAGCCUCUUGCCUAUGCAGUCGGAGAGAUUGAGGUCUGCAGCGUAGAUCCUUCGGGGCUAAAUGCAUUUGUGCUAAGUUAUAGCAUUUUAUAGACAACUUGUUGACUAUGAUUUGUCUUGUAGCUUACUCGCUUAUGUUAUUUUACCUACACUUAGGAUGUUGAAUCUGUGCGAGACUAC
rnacentral:rRNA from 1 species